rnacentral:rRNA from 1 species
ACGCAACCUUCGGGUGAGUGGCGGACGGGUGAGUAACGCGUGAGAUCUGCCUUGGGGUCGGGGACAACCACUGGAAACGGUGGCUAAUACCGGAUAAGCCUUUGGGUAAAAGAUUUAUUGCCCCAAGAGGAGCUCGCGUCUGAUUAGCUAGUUGGUGAGGUAAGAGCUCACCAAGGCAGCGAUCAGUAGCUGGUCUGAGAGGACGAUCAGCCACACUGGGACUGAGACACGGCCCAGACUCCUACGGGAGGCAGCAGUGGGGAAUUUUCCGCAAUGGGCGAAAGCCUGACGGAGCAAGACCGCGUGAGGGAGGAAGGCUCUUGGGUUGUAAACCUCUUUUCUCAGGGAAGAAGCUCUGACGGUACCUGAGGAAUCAGCCUCGGCUAACUCCGUGCCAGCAGCCGCGGUAAUACGGAGGAGGCAAGCGUUAUCCGGAAUUAUUGGGCGUAAAGCGUCCGCAGGUGGCGAUUCAAGUCUGCUGUCAAAGCACGGGGCUUAACUCCGUUAAGGCAGUGGAAACUGAAUAGCUAGAGUGCCGUAGGGGUAGAGGGAAUUCCCGGUGUAGCGGUGAAAUGCGUAGAGAUCGGGAAGAACAUCGGUGGCGAAAGCGCUCUACUGGACGG